rnacentral:lncRNA from 1 species
AGGUCUUGAUGAGUGUUAUUCAUUGGAAGGCAUCUGAUUUAGACUUAAUAAUUUAAUGAGGGAUUUUAUUAAUUUAGAUCUCACCAAUUUUAAUCUUGUUAAGCAUGCACAUUAUUAAUCAUAUCAUAUCAUAUACAAGCAUAAAUAAAGUGCAAAAUUAAAUGUGUCACAGUUAUGGCCCAAUCCACUGUCAAUCUUUUC